rnacentral:lncRNA from 1 species
GUCUCACUGAUGUCCAGGUUCCUGGAACCUGCCCUUGUGAUGGGAAUGUGGCUGCCAUGCAGUGGGAUUGCUGCCAGGCUGCAGUGCAAAUUGAAGUGCAAAACUUUCAGGAAGAGCACUUCUGAAGACUGGCUUCUUUUUGAUAUCAGCCCUAGCCCUGCUAGGAGGCCUCUAGUUGCGUGUUGGCAGAAUUUAAGUGUCUGGAGCCUAAAACAGUGAUCCAGAAAACCAGUGCUACAGUAGCUGUAAAGUUCAUCAGAUUCCCACGUCCACCCUGUGCCAGUACUGUUGAGACUUCGCAGAGUCCAGGCUGGAGGC